AACCGCGUAGCUCAGUUGGCAGAGCAUUGGGCUAGUAUUCCAAAGGUCGUAGGUUCGAUUCCCACCGUGGUCA